ensembl:lncRNA
AUGGCAUUGAUUAGAUCAGAAGAUAUCAAACGGAGUGGCACAUGCUUGCAAACACUGCAGGUCCUGUUAUCUAAUGAAAUCACAUUCAUGUUAUCCGUCUUUUCUACAUCUAAAGUCUGUGUGUGUUCUUUUAGCAGAAACCGAAGUCUCCCAUCACUCCAGUGUUGCUCAGCACUCCUGCCAAACUUAAUGGACCAAGACCAAAUGACAGGGAGGUUGUGAGGCCUGAACCUGUAGGCUUUAGAUACUGGAGGACACCUGAAAAAACACAGUCCGUCCUCCAUCAGGUGAGACUAGUUUGCUUUAUGUUUUGUUCUCAGUGUCUUAAUUAUAUUAUUUAAUCAUUCAAAUAUGUUCAUCUAAAAUAGUAGGCAGGUGUUAUUGAAGUUUCAGCAAUCUCAUGUUUCAUAAACUAUGCAUGCACCUUUCAGAAAAAUGAUUAUUAUACAGUACAGUUUCUGUUUGGGGUCAAUUUGACACCAGCAGAAACAAUUGAAGAACAAUACAGUAAAAUAAAUCAAACUAAAAAGCUUGCA